CAAAAGAACAGGCACAGGUUUUAAUAUAAACACUGUGUAAAUAAAGGUCCUUGCAGUACAGCUCAUAGCACAAGAUCUCCAGUUGCUGCAGCAUGAACUUUAUCACAGAUGGGCUCUUUUUUUUUUCCCAGCUCCCUCUCUCUGUGGCUGCUGUGUGGAGCCACCCCCAUGGCAAAGGCUGCAGCCAGCACAUCACUGCUGCUCGCCCAACAGUUUCUGAAGCCCUCUGCUGCCUUGGAGCUUGUCAGGGUCACUGACAUAAUUUUUCCUUCUUCCACUUCAUUUGCUGCAUUGCUCCCUGGAACAGCAUCCCUGCCAGGCAGGAAUGCUGUAAUCCCCCGUCCAGCUCCACCAACCUUGUUAUCCUGCAUCCACACCUCCAGGAUUUUGCAGAGUCUGUUCCCUUCCCUUUCCUGGCUCUGACUGUGUGACUGUUGUUUUCCACCUGUUCCUGAUCUGUGCAUGUGUUUUCACCCUUCAGAUGUUUAUUUCACACCGAGCUUUUCCCUACAAAUUAUCCAUACCACAGGUGAUGGCAGCUCUACUGUAAACCAGCUGCUGUUUCCUUCAGUGCUAUAGCCUAAACACACUCAAAGGAAAUCUAGCUGACACCACGACAAAACAGGACCAUCUCAGCUGCGUUUGUGGAUGUGCUUGGGUUUUCCUGCUCAUCCUGCAGCAACAUUCAGUGCCUCAGGAACUCAGAUCAUGGGUCUUGAAAGAGCUGUAAACUGCCUCCAGCCUUACUUUGGCUAGCAUGAAGACAUACCCCACUUCCCAUCAAGAACAAGUUCCUGAAAAGUGUGAGACAGCCCUGAAAUGGAUAGCAAAGCAAUUUUCCCAUCAGAAUUAAUGAGCAGAAUACUCCUUGAGAUGAUCUUGGCUGCUCUGUCUGAGCGCCCAACCAUGAUCCGCCUUUCUGUCCUUCACACUCGAUUGACCUGACUGAUCUUGAUUCAACCAAGGAAGAUGAUGCUGAAUGUGAGCGUUCAGAAAGAGGCACUGAAAACACUCACAGGAAAAGACUUGUGCUGGGUGUUCGUUCUCACAGAUAAAGCAGCCAAGGCCUUUCUGAACACUGAACUCUCCAGAAAGCCUGUGUCCCCUCCAGGGAAUGGUCUGGAGGAUCCUGCUUUUGCCUCUUCAUCCUCUACAUCAUUAUGCACCAUCCCUAUGUAUUUAAGAUGUAUUUCUGAAGUCUCUGACACAUCCUCCUCUGUGUCAUUAGUUCUGAUGGGUAAAACUGCUUCACUAUCCACUGAACUCAGUCACAUCUCGUGAGAGCCUGAAUACUUGAUGUAAAAUUUCCGAGAGUGUUGAGCUGCUUCUUUUUAACAGCCACAUUUUCCUCUCCCUCAUCCUCAGACAAAUUAAGAACUUGUCAAGCUGGUGGAUGGAGAAUGUGGUAGUGAGGAUGGUGAAUGGAGCAGGAGCCUGAAUUAUGGACUGUGGAUCUCCAGAGAGAUGGAGAGGAUGAUGGACAAAGGGAUGCUACUGGAGAACAGCAGGGUGUGUGCAUGUCCCCAGCUUGAUUUUAACACAUUGUUAAGUUUAGGUCCAGGCCCUUUCUCCUAUCCAUGGUUUCUGAACAGAGAUGUAUAUGCUUUCUGUUGGUUGCACAGGACAACUCUGCUACACGUGUCAUUUACUUCUGAAGUGUGGGCUGUGGGUUUAAUGCUCAGGCUGCGGUUUCACAACCAUUGUCAGAUGGAGAAGGAGCUGCUCAACCAUCUCCUCCCCACUCCCUCCAGCCCCUUUCCUUGUUGGGCGCUCAGGAAGGAAGGAGAGCUGGCCUGGCUGGCUGCUAAGGCAGCUUUUCUGUGGGACCAGCUGCCUUCUAGCCCUAAAGCUGCAUGAUACACCUGAUAUAAUCAAACAACUCUGCCAGCUACAGCAGCUGGGAGAGAGGGGUGAGAGCUGAGAGAGCAGCAGCCCUGCAGCCCCCAGACAGGAGGUCGAUGCGCUGAGCAAGCUGCCAUUUUUAUCUGCCUGCAAUUGCUCUUCUUCAUGACUGGGAUUCCUUGGCUCUCACGGGACGGAUUUCUUCCAUGGUGUCAUUCACAAGAACUCACAUCAAACUGCUUUAUCAUCUGUCUGCAGUGUUUUUGCUGCUGUUAUCAAGCAGUAACACAGCUCAGAGAGGCAACUAUUGUGAUCCCAGAAGACUUUGAAUUUACGGGUUAAAAUAAUCAGAGACAUUUAAAAAAAAAGAGUAUUUGCACUCAUCCUCACCACUUGGUUGUACUCCACUCAAAAAUGAUCAGGUUAUUGCUGUUUCUGUGCCUAAUGCAAUAUGUUUUAGCAGGAUAUUCAGUCACUAGUAAUUUCAGCAUACAAGAUAUUCCUCCUCAUUUUGAAUCAAGGAUCAAUUGGCUUGAUGGAUGAAGCUGAUAUUUUUCUGGCCAGACUGUUUGCUUUACAUGAUAGAUUUGCUCUGGCUGCAACAUUUUAUUUCUCAUUAAAUUAGCCAGCCAACAUUCACAGAUGAGGGAUUCAACUGAUUUAGCUGUAAUUUAUAUAGAGCUCCAACUACAUCUUUCCAGCACAGGUUGUGGGGGUUUGCGACGAGCCAGGUUCUCUCCUGUUGAAAAGAGCAACAGCCAUAGUCCAAGCCAGCUCCUCAGUGUUUAUUUUGAUGCAGUAUUUGUCCCACUUUAAUUGUACUGAUAACAGUUUAAGUAUCAUUCUCACCCCUCGUGUUGAUGCAAUGUAUGUGUUUACAGCUAUUCAAGACCAGAAGAUGCUUAAGUCAAUAUCAGAUGGCUUCAUUCCAACACAAGAAAGUCAGCACUUGAGUUUUAGCUGGUGAAGUGUAAGGUGACAUUUAAACAAAACCAGCUGGCCCCAGGAGCCACACCGGGUCCUUGUCCUGCUUAUAGUAUGCUCUGCUUGGCACCCACCUGCUCACUCAUCAUUUUC